UAAGCGAGAGUCAAGUAGAGGGAAUGACGCAAACAUUGGCCGCAUUCAGCGGACAGUUUUACAUCAUCUAUUAGACUUUCCACUGAAUCUCGAGAUUUGUUCGCUCCAACAUAUUUCAACUCACUCUAACGUGCUCCAAAAGUGAUUCAAAUAAUCUAAGUGCUCUCUGGUCUACAUUGGAGCAUGCGACACGAAUGAACCUUCAGUGUUGACUUAUCGGUUCUAAAUUUAAAAAAGAUUGCAAAAAAAGUAAAAGCAAAUCACGUUCGACUGUUACUAAGUUACUUGUUCUGCUGAAUGCGCAUUGAUAACGCAGUAAGUGUACGUUCGCAUUGGCUCGCAGGUGCGAGUGCAUGCACUCACGUGUGUUGUCAAUGGCUGAGUCUCGUGGAACGUAUGAUGCGCAUGUAUUAUUUUAUCCUUGUUUAAUGUUCGGUGAUCAACAAGAAUGAAAUGACAUAUCACCCACAUCAUGCUCUUUAACUCGGCCAUUGUGUGCGUCAUCCACUUCACUCUCGCCUGACUCUGAUCUUGAAAUCGGCAACACUGGCUAUAACUUUGACGCGCAUAUAUGUAUUAUCAUCAUGUAGCUAGUGCUCAUAGAAGUUACACGUAACACGUAAUUUCCUGCCCCACUCUAAUUAAAAUUUGACUUAUAAUACAAUUCAAAUUUGCUUCUGCAGUAGAAAACCGGUUACAGCAGUGUUCAAUAAGUUUCUAGACUGUAUAGUACAUCUUCAUUAGCUUUAAGAAUAUUGCAUUAAUGUGCGGAAGAUAAGUGUUGAAAAGAUAUUUCUCGAACACAAUCAGAUAUAGUAAAAUACAUUUUUAUUGUAAUUCAAACUAAGUUUCAAUGUCACUAAUAAAAAGAAUCACAUUAGAAGAGGAAAUGGAAAAAAGUUCUGAAUUGAAACUAUCGGAUAUACAAUCACUGAAAGAAUGGUGCGAGAAACAACCGCACUUGCCAAAAAUUGAGGAUAGUUUUCUCGCCUUGUUUCUUCACAGCAAUUAUUAUCAAAUGGAACAAACAAAAAACACAAUAGAAAAUUAUUAUACGAUUAGAACGCAUGUACCAGAAUUUUUUUCCAAUCGAGAUCCGCUCGGGAACAAGGAAUUACGACAAGCUUUUAAAAUUAUGACCCGUUUUCCCUUAAAUGGAGUAACGAAGGAUGGCUACACAAUGAUAUAUGGAACAAUUCUGGAUGCCGAUCCUUCUCAUUAUAAUUACAAUGACGUCACCAAAUAUUUCUUUAUGUUAAUGGAUGUAUUGUUUCUGACGCACGGUAUAAACAACGGUUAUGUCAAUAUCAUCGAUGUUGGUAAAUUGUCAUUCGGUCAUGUCACGCGAAUGAAUCUGUCGGCAGCCAAGAAAAAUUCUUUUUACAUCCAAGAAGCAGUACCGAUGCGUUUAAAGGAAAUCCAUAUUAUAAACGCACCACCUGCCUUGGAAUUGCUCAUAAAUAUUUUUAGACCUUUGUUGAAGAAAGAGCUGAUAGACAUGGUACAUGUUCAUUCAUCGUUGGAAAGCCUUUCUAAAUACAUACCGUUAGAUGCGCUACCGAAUGAGUUGGGUGGAAAAGGAGGUUUUAUACAAGAAUUAGCUGAUAAUCAAAUAAAGCUACUCGAGGACUAUCGUGAAUGGUUCCUGCUGGAUGAAACAACUGGACGCGUUAAUGAAGCGUUGAGAAUUAACACACCGAGAAAACAGUCUUGUUGCAUUACUUAGAAAUCUAAUAGAUUUAACAAGUUUUUAAAAUUGCGAUUUUCUGACGACUUGCUCGCACUGGGUUAAUGUAACCUGGACACGAACUCAAUGCGACCACUGAGAAUUAACAUAAACGUGCUCAUCGCCAAGAAUAAUGGAGUUUACUUUGAUGACAAGCAGGUCAAGUCAUCCACACUGCUCUUUCCUCUUGCACCGAAUGCGAGCGAAGCAGUGUGCACCUUUUCUCUGAGUUUGACGAACACGGAGUCGCAACUUCUCAGCCGGUUUGCCGCUGGCUGGGAGAUCAAGGGAAGUCUUUGUGUUGUUGCGCAUCAUAGAAAACUGUACACGUUGAGGUAUAUCGAUGAUGAUGAUGAUAUCAGAGGUUCAACCCUGCGUACAAUUGAUUCAUACCAACGAUAGCACUAUCGUGGACAUUCUUCCUGUGAAGAGGCGAGACAAAGUGGCAGGUUUACUGCUUCUCACGGAACACGCAAACGUGGUAAUUUUUGUACAUGAUGGAGGUGAUAGAUCCGAACCGAGAUAUGGACUAGUUUUUGAGAAGAUAUACCUUAAAGAAAACAUAAGAGACAGAACGCUUUGCGCCAGUUUCAGUUUAUGUACGGAGAAAGUUUUGUGGCUGGUAUACUGCGAUCAAUUCAGGAUACAUUAUGUAAAAAAGGAGCUAUUUGUUGAUGCAAUUCAAGAAGUGAAAGUGGAGGAAAGAAUAUUUACGUGUUUGCAGUAUUAUAAACCGAAUGUGAUUCUAAGUUUAUCACAAGAGAAAGAAUUGAUCGAGAUUUCUCUCGAAGAUUUGGACAACUCUUUGUUAACCGACAACAAUAUCGUUCUUCAUCAUGGGAUGUUUCAAAAAACGGAUAUUAUUAUGGAGAAAAUUUGUGCCAAAGUACAAGAAUUGAAUGCGCUGUACGAAACUUUAUCGGAUGAGCAAGACAAAUUAAAGAGGAUAAAUCUGUACGCUAGCAAACAAAAACUGCAGAUAAAUCCUCAUAUUGAAGUGUCUAAGUUGUUUAAGUAUCGCUAUCUCGAUUUAAAUAUAUCAAACAAGCUGCCUAAAAACAGUUAUAUAGUGUUCUCUUUUGCUUCUAAAAAUCAACGCACAUUCUGUUUGAAGAGAGUCACGGAGGGUCAUGCAUUCACAAUGAAAAUGCCUAUCAAUGAGAAUCAGAUACUGUGAUCUUCGUCAAUCAGCAUAGAUUUGAUCACGUUAAUGAAUAAACAACGUCCAUGGUGCCUUAUACAAAACUUUGUAAACUCAUCGCCGCGUGAUGUUAAGAGGAAACGAGGACCAAGGAAAGACAAAAUUGCCUUUAUAGACGCUAAAAUAAUGUCGUUACAACGUUUGAUAAAGGAAAAGGAAUUAAGCAUGACAAAAUUGUGCGAAAUCAAAAGAAUCAUACGUGCAGAAUUAUAAUUUCGUAGAUGUAGUAAUAGUAGUAAUAGUAGUAGUAGUAGUAGUAGUAGUAGUAGUAGAAGAAGAAAGUUCUUAGCUUUAAGUUUUGCAUCCGGAGCGUCAUUUCAAAUUGAAUUGAAAUAUUUUUCUAUUCUUUUGUAAUUUAGAAAUAUUAGAUGUUUUUUUUAACUGAA